rfam:Chelonia mydas contig265894, whole genome shotgun sequence.
CCUUGACAGCCACUACUUGAUACUGCAACAAAGUCACAAUUCUGUGUUUGUGACAACAUAGUCUGUUGCCAUGGGAAGGGUUAAGAUGUCAGAACUUCAGUAUUAUGACUUGACUGCAUGAUUAAGCAGGAAAAGAAGAUGGGCUGUGAGGGAGA